rnacentral:rRNA from 1 species
UUCCUCCCGAGUGCUUGCACUCAAUUGGAAAGAGGAGUGGCGGACGGGUGAGUAACACGUGGGUAACCUACCCAUCAGAGGGGGAUAACACUUGGAAACAGGUGCUAAUACCGCAUAACAGUUUAUGCCGCAUGGCAUAAGAGUGAAAGGCGCUUUCGGGUGUCGCUGAUGGAUGGACCCGCGGUGCAUUAGCUAGUUGGUGAGGUAACGGCUCACCAAGGCCACGAUGCAUAGCCGACCUGAGAGGGUGAUCGGCCACACUGGGACUGAGACACGGCCCAGACUCCUACGGGAGGCAGCAGUAGGGAAUCUUCGGCAAUGGACGAAAGUCUGACCGAGCAACGCCGCGUGAGUGAAGAAGGUUUUCGGAUCGUAAAACUCUGUUGUUAGAGAAGAACAAGGACGUUAGUAACUGAACGUCCCCUGACGGUAUCUAACCAGAAAGCCACGGCUAACUACGUGCCAGCAGCCGCGGUAAUACGUAGGUGGCAAGCGUUGUCCGGAUUUAUUGGGCGUAAAGCGAGCGCAGGCGGUUUCUUAAGUCUGAUGUGAAAGCCCCCGGCUCAACCGGGGAGGGUCAUUGGAAACUGGGAGACUUGAGUGCAGAAGAGGAGAGUGGAAUUCCUGGUUAACCG